GCCGACGUAGCUCAGUGGCAGAGCAACUCCAUGGUAAGGAGUAGGCCGUGGGCUCGUUUCCCACCGUCGGCU
rnacentral:tRNA from 1 species